rnacentral:rRNA from 1 species
UACGGGGGGGGCAAGCGUUGUUCGGAAUUACUGGGCGUAAAGGGUUUGUAGGUGGCCGGCUAAGUCAGACGUGAAAUCCCUCAGCUUAACUGGGGAACUGCGUCUGAAACUGAUCGGCUCGAGUGCAGGAGAGGAACGCGGAAUUCCAGGUGUAGCGGUGAAAUGCGCAGAUAUCGGGAGGAACACCGGUGGCGAAGGCGGUUCUCUGGGCCUUACCUGACGCUGAGGAGCGAAAGCGUGGGGAGCGAACAGG